GUGCCAGCCCUGGAAACUGAUGGCCUCUUUAUCUACAGAGCAUGUACAAGUCAGGCACCAGCAGUGAAAGCUGCUGCCUGCACUGACACUUGCCAGUGUGCCUUCCUCUGGCCAGGAGAGACCACCUUUAGGGCUGAGGGGGAGAAAAGUUUCCUUGGUCCAUUCAACCUUUGACUUCU
rnacentral:sRNA from 14 species